ACAAUAAGAAAUAUUUCCCAAGAGAAAAUGAACUUCAGUCCCUAAAGAUUAGCCUGGUUUCAAACUUGGCUAAGAAAUUCUUUUCCAUCUUUAUUUUUAAAUUCAAGUGCAGUGGGGAGAGAAAGUGAAGAGGAAAGUGGGUGCAGGCGCUUUAAUGCUCUUCUGCGUCUCUGCUCUCCCUGGAAGGCUGUCCUUCAGUGAGCUUCCCCCAUCCCUCUCGUGGAGACCAGCUGUGGUCAGCGCCCCAGCUCUCCUGUUGGACUCAGAUGAUGCUGCCGACAGGAGUUUAUCACCCCUGUAACCGGAGGUGCCCCACACAACAUCUUUCCAUCAGACAUCCUCGACUUGGUUGUUCACAGGAUAAAAAACUGUCACUCAUGCACUCAUUUAGCUAUGUCUUGGGUAAUUGCCAUCUACCUUUUGAAUUCUCAACAGCAUGAAUAGUAAAAAAGGAAAAUGUUAUGCAUGAGUAAAGAUUAACUAUAUGCGCAAACAGUCAGCUACCCUCAGAUGGAGGGGAGAUCCUCGGGGUGGACCAUCUGGAGACCCGAGAGGCCAGAAGUCUUGCUGCUGCGUGACAAAUGUAGGAACCGCCGCACACUUAAGUUCCUGCCAUUCGUGGGGGGCAGGUCACAUUGUAGUAUUUCCUUUUUCACUGCCAGGAGUUGAUAAAUGGGCCUGCUGGCCACGGACACAGUUGGAUGCCACUGAAGAUGUGCUGUCCUCGUGCAGCUCCACAUGGCUGUGGACAUGUUUGCAGUGACCAGUGUGGCCCCAGAGGGCCUGGGUGGAGGCUGUGCAGUGCAGGGUGCCCCAGAGGGUCUCUUCCCUCUGGUGAGCACGAAUAAUUGUCAUCAUUAAAGAUGAAUUUGUCUGGUUCUGCAGUGCUUUAGAACCUUCCAGUUCUGGGCCCAGCUGAGGGUUAAUGAACCAGGAAGCGGGACGCCAGAGCGUUUUAUCAGCUGAUUCUUCAGCGGGAAGUUGUCUAAUGCAUCUUUGGAGCCACGUGGUGUUUCUCCAAGUGAGGGUCCACCAUCAACUUCAGAAUUAGCCUGAUUGAAAAUGCAGAUUACUGGGCCCCACCCCACACCUGCUGAAACAGGAAUUGGGGAGGGGGUUCUGGGGAAUAUGCAUUUCCCACAGGAUUCCCUACGGGUCCCGCUGUACCUUCUCAUAGUGAGCGGGGGAGAGGUGUCUGGGAGGGAGGACAGAGGGAGAGUAGAGCACCGCACAGGAGACACACAGCUCUGGGCCUCGUUCUCUCCCUCUCCCUGUCUCUCUUUCUCAUGUAAGCACACACACACGUGUGUGCACACGCACCCACUUGGGCAGCUCCCUGAGCUCAUCCAUCAGAGCAGGAAGGUCACCUGAGGCUUUCUGUGUGGACACAGGGAGGGGGUGCCCACCCCACCUCGCCCUCUGUGUUCUCAGCAGAACAAGCAAGGGACCCACGUGCCUCUCCUCCUGGGAGCCCACGCCCACCUGUAAGCUCGGGUACCGGCAUUCACUGGCCAUGAGACCUUUGUAAUGUGGUGCGUUAUGGGGUUCCGAGAGGGACGACUAGAAUUCCCCCAUACUGCACCCAAUAGGUCCCAGCCUCUGAUUAUUCUCACUGCUGCUGCAAAAACACCUAUAGGAGCACUUAAAGUCAGAGCGACACUCCUCUGUGUAGGAAAUGCAUUUAUUUUCUUGCACCAUUCUAAAUGCUUCACUGUGCUUAUCAUGACAUUGCAUUUAGCAUUUGCUGUUGUUGCUGUUUGGAUAAAUGAGGUGUUGUCCGCUGAGGCAUCUGAGGAUAAACUCACAGUCUCCAUCCCAGCACACUGCUGAGCCAGGAAACCAGGCUGCUGACCUCAGAUGGCCUCACAAAGAAGGAUCAGGAGAGCGAAGCUCAUGAAACCCCUCUAGGAAAACAAACGACAAGGGGACUUGGGGCCCAGAGGUAAACUGUGGAUGGUGAGCCCUAUAGAAGCGCCAGCAGUGGGCUGUCCAUGCCAGGAUAGAACAUACAAGUGACAGUUCUAAUUCAGGGACUACUCAGUCUGAAAACAUCCUUAAAAUAUUCUAUGUUGAAGGAGUAAUCACAACCUAAUCAGAAUUUCUUAGGGAUCAAAUGGUCUGAUGAAGGAGGGAAGAGAAGGAAGGGCACCUCCUGCACUCAUCUACAUCUGAACCCGGGGAGCAACACAGACAGCAUAUGACAAAGAUCUGUCACACGGCUUAGUUACACGUGAAACACACACACGUGCAGACACAGAGCACACACAAGGCCUACCCACCCAGCGCCGCCUGAGGCACCUUUGGGGUGGAGCCUGGAUAAGCCACUGAGAUUCGCCCUCCUCUUGGUGAACUUGCGUGGUUGUGAGUCUCAAACCACUGAACUCAACCAGGGGCCUGGCGUCAGGCUGGGGUGCGGGGGGGCAGGGGGAUCAGCCACCCCCUUAGGGUGCGUGUUAUCACAAGGGGAUCCUUCAGCCAGAAACCGACUGAAAUUCCAGCCACGUGCCUGCCAUGAGAUGGUUCCACUUUGAAGCAAUAAAUAAAUACAUACAUACAUAAACAAAUAAAUAAGAACUGCAUGAAAGAGGACAGGAAGGAAAACAUCUUACCAGAAACUUGAACUUUCCCUGCCCAUCCUCCUCUGAACCCCGUGUUUUCAAUUAUGCCAUACUGAAUCUAUAGUGAUGCUAAUAUGUUUGCAUUGCUGGCUUUCAUUCUAUUUUUUUACAACUCACCGCAGGAUAGCAAAGUCAAAAAUAUACCAUUCUGAUCAACAGGACACAUCUGCGGUGAAUCCACACAGAAGCAAUUAAUUUCCUGGUGGUAUUUUUACACUGGGGGCCUGAUGCAGGUCCCCAUUAUACAAACAACAACUCCAGCCAGCUUCUGCUGCCUGAUAAAAAAUAAAUCAGAUUGCGGGGGACGGUUUGGCCUAGGACUGCUACAGGCUAUGACUUGUAAUGAGGCCUCCCAACACUAAUUAUGAAGCUUAUUAAAGAGAAUUGUCCAACUUGUACUAAAGCGCGCGCUGUAAUCACGUUAAAGACAGCAGGCCUCCAGAACACGCAGCCGGCAGUCGCCUCGCUCGGCAGAGGGGACCACACAGGCUCAGCCAGGGCGUGGAUCAAAUCACAGAAAGAGUGACUGCGUUUGGCAAAUUGGUCAGGAUAAAUUUAUGGUGGGGCAGGUGAGAAUCGCAACCCCGUGGUGAUAAUUCACACACCAGAGCCUUCCCUCCUCACCAGCAUCUGCCAGGAUGGGGUCCAUGAGACCCUCCCAAAGCAAACAUCGCCAGCACACGGUAUUUUAUUGUGACCCUCCUCCGGAAUCUUCUCUAAGGUUUCAAAAGCAAUAUUUCAAUGUACUCUUUCAGGAGGGUAGGGGGAAAAAAAAGAUUAAUAAAGAUGUUAGGAGACUGCACUGCUGUGAGAUUUGUGUAAUUAUCCCCCACAGGACUGCCCCAGCAAUCUGCUGACAUUUAGCCCCGACCUUGCAAAUCCUCAGUAAAUAUUAAUAUAUCAACUCAAACAGGGACCGUUGUCUUAUUGGCUCACGGAGCUCAGAGAAAUUCGCCACAGCGGUGAAAACUAAUGUGUAGAACUGAGGAAGGGCACUCCUUUGAUUUCACCUUCUGCUGCACACAUGAGCUGGGAGCAUCACAAAAUGGCAACGCUGUUCCUUUGCCACAGCCGUAGAAUGACACUUCAGAUGCCUUCGCUUCCCUUUGUACAGCCUGCUGGAAUAAUCCCAAAACCACAGCGGCAAGAGAUUAGAAGGGAGGGAGGGGGGAGGCCAGGAGAGGAGAAAUCGUACUUUAUUAUCUGGAAGACUGGAAAUUUUAAUAAUGCGGAAGUUCUGCCCUCCAAUCUGAUCUGGGGUUGCCAGAGCAGUGGGCCCAGGAUGAGGGCCCCGCCUGGGCCUCUGUCGGCCUGCCACAUUGCCUCCUGAUGCCCUCCUUGACCCGCUCCACAGAAGCCCAUGUGCAUAUCUGAGAAUGGAAAUGGCCCCUCGGAUUGAGAGUUUGCUGAAGGGGAAAAAAAGGAUGGUUGCUUUUUAAUUUUGCCCUAUGUGUGUUGACGGUGGUGGUAUUUUUGGAGGUUUUAUUUUCCUGGCCUCAGAUUUAGAUAUCUUUUAGUGACUAAUCCUCUCAUAAAUAUUCUGAAAUUCCUAAUGGCUGGCUGUUUGCUCUGGGCCAAGGGGCCUCCGAAGUUCUUGGGUGUCAGAAGGGGGGCUGCGCGGCCACAUUUGGCUUUCAGAUGUAGUGUGCUGAAGAGUUAAUGCGUGAUUAAUUUUAUUCAUAAAAAUGUUAAUCACUUCAUUGUGCGAUCUUUUUAGCAUUCAGUGCAGCGAGCACCUUUUUAAUUUCUCUUGCCCACCGUCUCGCAGAUGUAUUUAAUAUUUUCAGACGUUGCUGCAGCUAUCCGAGGACCUGGCAAUUAAGCAUACGUUUAAAAUUCAAUAACAAAGCGACAGCAGCGACAAACAAGCAAACAGGAAAAGACACAGAGGGAAGACGCGCCGAGACUGCAAGUGACCAGCUCGGAUUGUCGUCCGGGUGUCAGGGGCGCCAGCCGCCUGCGUGACCUUCCCAGCGCGCGGGAGCCCCUCCCGGAGCGCCUGCGCUCAGACCUGAAUACGCAGCGGAGAAUGGCGGCGAGUUCUUCCCCAGGCGAAAGGGCAGUCUGAAGUAGGGGGAAUUAAGGAAAACAGCCCUUCGGUUCAGACGACUUCAACUCGGACAUGCCAGAAUUUGAGGCCGCUCCAGGGCGUCCUCCGCCGGGGCAGCAUAGUGACUUUCCUGCGCAGUGAGCCUCUGGCUCCACUGAAAACAAGCGUCCAAGCAGGUUCCAACGGCGUUGGUAUAAAGAUGAAUACACUGAUAUCUAUGAACACA